rnacentral:rRNA from 1 species
UACAGAGGUCUCAAGCGUUGUUCGGAUUCAUUGGGCGUAAAGGGUGCGUAGGCGGCGGGGUAAGUCAGGUGUGAAAUCUCGGGGCUCAACUCCGAAACUGCAUUUGAUACUGCCUUGCUAGAGUACUGGAGGGGAGAUUGGAAUUUACGGUGUAGCAGUGAAAUGCGUAGAUAUCGUAAGGAAGACCAGUGGCGAAGGCGAAUCUCUGGACAGUUACUGACGCUGAGGCACGAAGGCCAGGGGAGCAAACGGG